rnacentral:lncRNA from 1 species
UUUUGUAGAAUUGAUGGUUGAUGCAUGGUUUCCUUGUUAUGUUGUAUGCAUAUUAUGGAUUAUUCAUGAUAUUUAAUUAUGUUUGAGUGUCGUAUGAUGAUAUGUUGGAUGUUGUGUCGUUGUUGGAUUGAUGGUAGGCUCAUAUUAUGAAAUCAUAUGGUGAAACUAUGUUGUUGUUUCUUCGUGUUAAGAGAUGUUGAUCUCAUAAUUUGAAGCACUUGGGCAUGUUAUA